GCAGUCGAACGAACUCUGGUAUUGAUUGGUGCUUGCAUCAUGAUUUACAUUUGAGUGAGUGGCGAACUGGUGAGUAACACGUGGGAAACCUGCCCAGAAGCGGGGGAUAACACCUGGAAACAGAUGCUAAUACCGCAUAACAACUUGGACCGCAUGGUCCGAGUUUGAAAGAUGGCUUCGGCUAUCACUUUUGGAUGGUCCCGCGGCGUAUUAGCUAGAUGGUGAGGUAACGGCUCACCAUGGCAAUGAUACGUAGCCGACCUGAGAGGGUAAUCGGCCACAUUGGGACUGAGACACGGCCCAAACUCCUACGGGAGGCAGCAGUAGGGAAUCUUCCACAAUGGACGAAAGUCUGAUGGAGCAACGCCGCGUGAGUGAAGAAGGGUUUCGGCUCGUAAAACUCUGUUGUUAAAGAAGAACAUAUCUGAGAGUAACUGUUCAGGUAUUGACGGUAUUUAACCAGAAAGCCACGGCUAACUACGUGCCAGCAGCCGCGGUAAUACGUAGGUGGCAAGCGUUGUCCGGAUUUAUUGGGCGUAAAGCGAGCGCAGGCGGUUUUUUAAGUCUGAUGUGAAAGCCUUCGGCUCAACCGAAGAAGUGCAUCGGAAACUGGGAAACUUGAGUGCAGAAGAGGACAGUGGAACUCCAUGUGUAGCGGUGAAAUGCGUAGAUAUAUGGAAGAACACCAGUGGCGAAGGCGGCUGUCUGGUCUGUAACUGACGCUGAGGCUCGAAAGUAUGGGUAGCAAACAGGAUUAGAUACCCUGGUAGUCCAUACCGUAAACGAUGAAUGCUAAGUGUUGGAGGGUUUCCGCCCUUCAGUGCUGCAGCUAACGCAUUAAGCAUUCCGCCUGGGGAGUACGGCCGCAAGGCUGAAACUCAAAGGAAUUGACGGGGGCCCGCACAAGCGGUGGAGCAUGUGGUUUAAUUCGAAGCUACGCGAAGAACCUUACCAGGUCUUGACAUACUAUGCAAAUCUAAGAGAUUAGACGUUCCCUUCGGGGACAUGGAUACAGGUGGUGCAUGGUUGUCGUCAGCUCGUGUCGUGAGAUGUUGGGUUAAGUCCCGCAACGAGCGCAACCCUUAUUAUCAGUUGCCAGCAUUAAGUUGGGCACUCUGGUGAGACUGCCGGUGACAAACCGGAGGAAGGUGGGGAUGACGUCAAAUCAUCAUGCCCCUUAUGACCUGGGCUACACACGUGCUACAAUGGAUGGUACAACGAGUUGCGAACUCGCGAGAGUAAGCUAAUCUCUUAAAGCCAUUCUCAGUUCGGAUUGUAGGCUGCAACUCGCCUACAUGAAGUCGGAAUCGCUAGUAAUCGCGGAUCAGCAUGCCGCGGUGAAUACGUUCCCGGGCCUUGUACACACCGCCCGUCACACCAUGAGAGUU
rnacentral:rRNA from 2 species